rnacentral:rRNA from 1 species
UGGGGAAUAUUGCACAAUGGGCGCAAGCCUGAUGCAGCCAUGCCGCGUGUGUGAAGAAGGCCUUCGGGUUGUAAAGCACUUUCAGCGAGGAGGAAGGUGGUGGACUUAAUACGUUCAUCAAUUGACGUUACUCGCAGAAGAAGCACCGGCUAACUCCGUGCCAGCAGCCGCGGUAAUACGGAGGGUGCAAGCGUUAAUCGGAAUUACUGGGCGUAAAGCGCACGCAGGCGGUUUGUUAAGUCAGAUGUGAAAUCCCCGGGCUCAACCUGGGAACUGCAUUUGAAAACUGGCAAGCUAGAGUCUCGUAGAGGGGGGUAGAAUUCCAGGUGUAGCGGUGAAAUGCGUAGAGAUCUGGAGGAAUACCGGUGGCGAAGGCGGCCCCCUGGACGAAGACUGACGCUCAGGUGCGAAAAGCGUGGGGAGCAAAACAGGAUUAGAUAACCCUGGUAGUCCACGCUGUAAAACGAUGUCGAUUUUGGAGGUUGUGCCCUUGAGGCGUGGCUUCCGGAGCUAACGCGUUAAAUCGACCGCCUGGGGAGUACGGCCGCAAGGUU